ACAAUGGAGAGUUUGAUCCUGGCUCAGGACGAACGCUGGCGGCGUGCUUAACACAUGCAAGUCAAGGAGACCAUUUUCUUCGGAAAAUCAGUAAACUGGCGAACGGGUGAGUAACGCGUAGACAACCUGCCCUAGAGAUUGGGAUAACCCCGGGAAACCGGAGCUAAUACCGAAUAAUGCAGCG
rnacentral:rRNA from 1 species